GUUUUCUAAAGUUGUUACAGUUAUUAAAAGGUUAAUCUUCUACUAUUUGCCUCGUGUGGUUCCUUACUGGCGUGGUGGCAGCGGUUGGUUGUAUACGAACGUCCUUCGUUCCUUGCAAACUACGUAAAAUACUUGGCAGAAUAUGGUGGGAGACUGGGAGUGACACAGUGGACACUGUUUCCUGGAUAAUGAAGACGGUGUUGACAACAAAAUCUGGCCCGCCAAUACUGGACAAACUCCACUUGAUAAACAUCUUUUUCAUUACAGGAUGUCUACAAUUGAACCCAGCAACACACUUUAGAAACGCAAGGAAAUGGAGGGG